GCCCGGCUGGCUCAGUUGGUGGAGCGUGCGACUCUUGAUCUCAGGGUUGUGAGUUUGAGCCCCAUGUUGGGUG
rnacentral:tRNA from 1 species